AUGGAGGAUUCGAUAUCAGCACGAAUGAUUUUGUCUGGAAUUCCACUAGAAGAUGCAUAUUUGCAAUCCAGGCUGGCUAUCAUGGCUCAACAAGAAAGAAAGGGAAUCAAGCAAGGAAAGCUACCAAUCAGUGAUUGCUUUUAUUUGAUGGGUACAACAGAUCCUACAGGGAAACUCAAAGCCAAUGAAGUUUGUGUGAUCCUUGAGAAUGGACCAUAUUGUGGAAAUGUGCUUGUCUAUAAACAUCCUGGGUUACAUUUUGGUGAUAUACAUGUCUUGACAUCAAGAUAUAUCAAGGAUAUACAAGACGCAGUAGGAUAUUCAAGAUAUGCUAUACUUUUCCCUACCUCUGGCCCACGAUCUUUGGCCGAUGAGAUGGCCAAUAGUGAUUUUGAUGGGGACAUGUAUUGGGUCUCAAUAAAUGAACAGUUAUUAAAGCAGUUCAAGCCUUCUAAACCAUGGGAAUGGGGCCAAGUAAAUAAACCAGUACAGGCCGAGAAAAAGUGUCUUCUGGAUUUAGACGAACCCCUACUCGAGAGGAGUUUGUUUCAUGAAUUCUUAAAAGCAAGAUUUGCACGCAGUAAUGCGCUUGGCACAGCAGCUGAUAGUUGGUUAGUAUAUAUGGACCGACUGUUAACAGAUGGUGUUGAUGAAGAUGAAAGUAAUGUACUAGAAAAAAAGAUAAAGAAGUUGGUUGAUCUUUAUUAUUUGGCCCUGGACGCUCCAAAGGCCGGGACCAAGAUCAAUGUCCCUGCUGAGCUGACACCAAAAAAGUAUCCGCACUACAUGGAUCGAAAGGAAAGCUACCAUUCAACAUCCAUACUAGGAAAAAUUUAUGACGAAGCAGAAAAAAAGCAAUCUGAGAAAGUUGAACCAGUCGAGAUAUUGUUGGACCCGUGUUUCACGGAGAGAGCAGCAUCUUCAGGAUACAAGUACCUGAACCUCUGGGCAGGCCGCUAUCAGGAGUACUUGAGCGAGAGUGGGCCACUGAUUGACAAUCAGGACAAGGAAGAAACAGACCUGAAGUUCAAAGAACUCUACCAAAAGUACAAAUACAUGCUCUACGAUGCCGCUGAAUUCGAGCAAACCCAGAGGAACCUCGACGAAGUGUUCGACGAGGCCUGCACGAUCUACCAGAUCGUCUACGAGAAAGCAGCGAGGUUCAAGAAGGCUGGGAGAUGCGGCUUCGUGUGGAACGUGGCGGGCCGUGCGCUGUGCCGUUUCUACGCUCUCGAGGCCAAGGGCGACAAGGUGCUCGUCCCGUUGACGGUCGCUCGGAACCUCACGAAGAAGCGCCGUAGGUAG
rnacentral:rRNA from 1 species